UCUCAACUAAAUUCAAAAAGAUAUUGAAUUAAAGAUCACCAAAUAAUAUACCUUUGAAUACAUCAUCACUAAGAGGUAUAUUGAUGAGAUAAUUUAUAAAGUAGUUUCUUAGGAUGUUAGCCAUGUUAUCUUAAGGAGCUGAUAUUUUUGGGAUCGAAAUGCAAUCUUGAACAGGCGGCAAAAGAAGUAUCGUCUUAUAAAAGAUGGGAAGGAGUCCAUGACAAUGCCUCCA
rnacentral:lncRNA from 1 species